UCCUAGACACCUAUAUCUCUAUGACGUCGGCGACCAUCCAAUGCAUUUUGCGUUGACGUCUCCCACGUCAGCAACCCGUCCACUCACAAUCGCCUAACUAUUAAUCGCCCGUUUUCCACCAAAAUCACACACGACUCCCCCCGACUACUAUCCAUCCCAUUGCGGAUCCCGCCAACAUCUUCCAUGCUGGCGCCACCAUCUGCCUCAACACCCAUCUCUACUCUAGCCAUCUCCACCCGUCGCUGCCAACAUCUCCAACCCCAGCAUCUCAAACCAUCACCCAUCACACCGACUGCUCAAUCUCACAAUCAGACCCCACACAAAUCAAUACUCACCUCCCGAUUCACACUCGUACUCACUUCAUAUACACAACCCACCAUCGCUAUACACAAAGCCACCACAACAACCACCAAUCAUCCAUUAAUAUCAACAAAUACAAAAUAAGCACACUUCCAUCUUAAAAAAAAAAAAAGAACAAUAAUCAACAACCACUCUCUCAUACUUUUUCACCACACCAAAGUGACAGUCACCACAAAAUAAGUACACUGCUGCUUUACAAGAUGCACUUGGAGUGAUUUCUGAAGUGGAAGACAUCUGAAACAAAGGAUAGAAUAGAAGCAUACUUGGGGCCCACUCAUUGGCAAUUUAGACCAAUCGAAAUACAGGGAGUCACAACUGGACUACAACUAUCGCCACCACCGCCGACCACCGCACAAUCGAUCGAAUUAAAAACAAAAAAAACCCCUAAAAAAAUCGAGGCGAUGUUGCAGAUUCGGGAAGCAGCAGCACUGCUUCAUGGUGCUCCCUCAGCUAUGAUCACUGCACCUUGCCGCCGCCGAUGAGGAUGGUUUCGAUAUCGAAUGAGGGAGGAGAAGAAGAGAAGAAUAGAGACUGAGAAGAGAGAAGGAGAAAGAGGAGGAGAAAUGUUUUUUACGGUUGGGUAAAUGUAUUAGGGUUGAAAUAUCUUAUUUGUGAUAAGUGAAACCUUCCAUCUGAUUUUAGAACACAAAUCUUUAAAAGUAGGGUUUGGUAAUUUCCACAUAUAAAAAUCGUAUAAUGCUACUUUGCUAGAAAGUAGGUGACAUAAUGAUUGAGAUAAUAGGUGCUGAUAAUAUGUGAUUAGUUGAAAAGUUG
rnacentral:lncRNA from 1 species